GCGCCGGUGAUGUAAUGGCGUGGAGCAUUCCCGCUCGUUAAGCAGGAAGUGCGGGUUCGAGUUCCGCCUGGAGCU
rnacentral:tRNA from 1 species